rnacentral:rRNA from 1 species
UACGUAGGGUGCAAGCGUUAAUCGGAAUUACUGGGCGUAAAGCGUGCGCAGGCGGUUUUGUAAGUCUGUCGUGAAGCCCCGGGCUCAACCUGGGAAUUGCGAUGGAGACUGCAAGGCUUGAAUCUGGCAGAGGGGGUAGAAUUCCACGUGUAGCAGUGAAAUGCGUAGAGAUGUGGAGGAACACCGAUGGCGAAGGCAGCCCCCUGGGUCAAGAUUGACGCUCAUGCACGAAAGCGUGGGGAGCAAACAGG